rnacentral:rRNA from 1 species
AUGUUUUAUGGUCAUGCCCCGAUGGUCAAUGGUUUAUUCUUAAUGAAUCUCGAACGUAAUGUUACACAUAUUCAUAGUGUGAAUACCAAAAGAUGUAAAGUUGAUAACGAUAGUCCCACAUACUUGUGGCACUGCCGCCUUGGUCACAUUGGUGUCAAGCGCAUGAAGAAGCUCCAUGCUGAUGGACUUUUAGAGUCUCUCGAUUAUGAAUCAUUUGACACAUGCGAACCAUGCCUUAUGGGCAAAAUGACCAAGACUCCGUUCUCCGGUACUAUGGAGCGAGCAACCAACUUAUUGGAAAUCAUACAUACUGAUGUGUGUGGUCCAAUGAGUGAUGAGGCUCGCGGAGGAUAUUGUUAUGUUCUCACUCUCACUGAUGACUUAAGUAGA